rnacentral:rRNA from 1 species
AUUGAACGCUGGCGGAAUGCUUUACACAUGCAAGUCGAGCGGCAGCGCGGGGCAACCUGGCGGCGAGCGGCGAACGGGUGAGUAAUACAUCGGAACGUACCCAGUUGUGGGGGAUAGCCCGGCGAAAGCCGGAUUAAUACCGCAUACGACCUGAGGGUGAAAGCGGGGGACUCGCAAGAGCCUCGCGCUAUUGGAGCGGCCGAUGUCAGAUUAGGUAGUUGGUGGGGUAAAAGCCUACCAAGCCGACGAUCUGUAGCUGGUCUGAGAGGACGACCAGCCACACUGGGACUGAGACACGGCCCAGACUCCUACGGGAGGCAGCAGUGGGGAAUUUUGGACAAUGGGCGCAAGCCUGAUCCAGCCAUGCCGCGUGCGGGAAGAAGGCCU